rnacentral:lncRNA from 1 species
AGUGGGAGUCGGGCUUAUUUCAGCCCCUACGGACUUGGGGGUCGGAAUCGGAAGAAAGGGGGGAGGGCUAGCCGGUUAACCACCAGAAUCACGGAAAAGGGGUGAAGUGCCUCAGGCACGGGGGAAGGCGUUUAGUCUGGAACAUCGGGUGGCUGCCCUUGGGGCAGGAAUUGGAUGUAGACGAUUGUCAUCUCGAUGUCAUCAUGCUUCUGGAUUUCUUAUGGGAAAUGACUGGCCGAUCUCAUCUGAAAACAUCCACAUCACUGUUACCCAGAGAGUAGAAAGAGUGGCCAGAGAUCCUUUCAAUGUAGAUCCUCCUGUAAGGUGAGUGUGAGGUCCAUCUUGGGAAAAAUUGAAGGAUGCCUGCAUUAAGGAGAAACU